CGCAGGGUCAAAAAUUUUAAUUCCCUCAAACACUUCUUCAUUUUGUCUGAAACUUUCGACCCCAGCUCACUUUGACCCCAGCUCCUUCUCCAACCUGACCCGCGCCCCCGACCUCAGCUUGUUCUCCGACUCAACCAGCACCACUAGAGUUUGAUUUUCUUUUCGGUGUAGGUCCGCUCUCUUCUCUUUUCUCUUCAUCAUCCUUUUCGAGCGCUGUUCCGAGCCUACCGCCAGCGAUAGUGUGCUCAGAUCACACCUCUCAAUUUCGUGUAUUCUCAUCUUCCGGCUCAUGUCGAUAUGUUGAUAGGAUACCCAGAAAAAGAGGAAAUGCACAAUUACCAAGGUCACACCCAAUUUUGCUUAGCAGGUUAAACAUCACAGCUCCUUGAGAGUGAUUGCAGUGGUUCUGGGGAAUGGAAAGGGGAGUUUUUCCCUAAUAUUCCCAAAAUUAAAUCUAAGGGCCCCUCUAGUAAGAACCACCUUGCAUACAAAUGGUAUAAUGCAGAGGAGGAGAUUCUGGGGAAGAAAAUGAACGUUGGUAACUCUUUUAUAUUAUUUGAGUUUUCAAGCUGCUAAUGGUUCUUAACUGAAAUUUUUGCCAACAUUAGGAUUGGUUGAGGUUUAGUGUUGCAUUUUGGCACACAUUCCGUGGAACAGGAGCUGACCCAUUCGGUGCGCCUAAAAAAAAUGGGCAUGGGGAGGAUGGAACUUAUAACUCUGUUGCUAUGGCCAAGAGAAGAAUGAAAGCCAACUUUGAGUUCAUAUAUAAGUUUGGAGUCGAUAGGUGGUGUUUCCAUGACUGGGAUAUUGCUCCGGAUGGCAAAACCUUGGAGGGUGAAGAUCCAGGGAGUAGCUUGGAAUGAUCAAUUCUUGGCCUCACUGUCAUUUGAUUUUAGUGCCUCCAUCCCUAGAGAUAAAAGGAAUCUGCUGCACUGAACCGAGAGCUCCAAUUAUUGGAACAAUAGUCUGCUUCUAGUGACCGUUUAUCUGCGCUUAUCAAUGAGACAUUGCAGUUAUAUGACCGGAACUCUUUUCACGAGAUGUUCCAGGGUAAUUAACUAGACAUAAUUUCAAAUUAUGGGAAAUUCUAGUGUAGUGGUGGGUCUCUCAUACCCACAUUUACAAAAGUGAGAACAAAUUUUGUUGUCAAAGUUGUAAUUUGAGUUCUACUUUGUGUAAUCUUAGUUCUAAUAAUGGUAAUUACA